AGCAGCCGCGGUAAUUCCAGCUCCAAUAGCGUAUAUUAAAGUUGUUGCAGUUAAAAGCUCGUAGUUGAAUUUCGGGAUCAAUACGUCGGUCGUGCUUCGGUACGUACUGGCGUCAUUGAUUUCUCCCUUCUGACGAACCAUGACGUCAUUAACUUGGUGUCAUGGGAAAUCAGGACUGUUACUUUGAAAAAAUUAGAGUGUUUAAAGCAGGCUCACGCUUGAAUACAUUAGCAUGGAAUAAUGAAAUAGGACGUUCGAUCCUAUUUUGUUGGUUUCUAGGAUUGACGUAAUGAUUAAUAGGGAUAGUUGGGGGCAUUAGUAUUCAAUUGUCAGAGGUGGAAUUCUUGGAUUUAUUGGAGACUAACUACUGCGAAAGCAUUUGCCAAGGAUGUUUUCAUUAAUCAAGAACGAAAGUUCAGGGGAUCGAAGACGAUCAGAUACCGUCGUAGUCUUAACCAUAAACUAUGCCGACUAGGGAUCGGAUGAUGUUAAUUUUUU
rnacentral:rRNA from 1 species